AAUAGAUACCCCAGGUAGUCCACGCCGUAAACGAUGAAUACUAGGUGUAGGGGUUGUCAUGACCUCUGUGCCGCCGCUAACGCAUUAAGUAUUCCGCCUGGGGAGUACGGUCGCAAGAUUAAAACUCAAAGGAAUUGACGGGGGCCCGCACAAGCAGCGGAGCAUGUGGUUUAAUUCGAAGCAACGCGAAGAACCUUACCUAGACUUGACAUCUCCUGCAUUACCCUUAAUCGGGGAAGUCGCUUCGGCGACAGGAAGACAGGUGGUGCAUGGUUGUCGUCAGCUCGUGUCGUGAGAUGUUGGGUUAAGUCCCGCAACGAGCGCAACCCUUAUUGUUAAUUGCUACCAUUUAGUUGAGCACUCCAGCGAGACUGCCCGGGUUAACCGGGAGGAAGGUGGGGAUGACGUCAAAUCAUCACGCCCCUUAUGUCUAGGGCUACACACGUGCUACAAUGGCAAGUACAAAGAGAAGCAAGACCGCGAGGUGGAGCAAAACUCAAAAACUCGUCUCAGUUCGGAUUGUAGACUGAAACUCGCCUACA
rnacentral:rRNA from 1 species